UUAAGCCACUAUUUGUUUAUUUUUUAUUUGUUUAUUUCCUGCUGGAUCUAAUCCUAACUUAUGUUGGUACGAAGGAAAUGGGAAGAUGCAUCAGACAGAAACUAAAAAUAUGACAGUGGCUUGCUGAUUGUGGGCAGCGAGGCCCCAGAUUUCGCAGCAUGAAAGUCUGGGGACUGCUGUCAUUCACGGCAACAUGUUUGAAAAAGGGGAAAGUGCCAGAGUUGGAAAGCUAGCUGCCUGCCUGCUGACGGAGGGUGUGUGGUACGAGUGGCAGUGAUGGGAAAUGCAGUAUUAGUGCAGGUUGGCUGCUUCCUGCCACUUUCAUCAAAGUCCUGGAAGAGAGAGGAAUUCAGGCUUAUGCUCAUCAGUCUGCAGGCAGAGGCGGGAGGCGGUACAGCCCUGGGGGAUGCUCUCUGCCCUGGUCCUCUAAUUUAAAUUGACGGAAAGUCUGGAAUUUGGGAGUCUUGAAAUUUGGAAAAGAUAAUCCCUAUAAUGUCCUGAAAUGUCCUGUGAAGAAACAGUCUAAACAGGAGAUAAAACCAUGGACUCUAGCCUUUUUUAGCUUUCUCUACGAAGAGUUUUCUGCCAGAUAAUGGGAGCCUACGGCAGUAGCAAAGAUUGGAUUAAGAAUGCUGCCUUGGAGUUCCCGUUGUGGCUCAGUGGUAACAAACCUGACUAAUGUUCCUGAGGAUGCGGGUUUGACCCCUGGCCUUGCUCAGUGGGUUAAGGAUCCAGAGUUGCUGUGAGCUGUGGUUAAGAACACAAUGUGGUUUUUCCAAUACUUCCCAAAGGAUCCCUCUAUCAUUUUCCUGUUUUAUUCAUAUGCUUUGAAAUCUUUGUAAUGGUUCACUUGGUUCCUGUGUGAAUGCAGAUGUGUCUGAUAGAUACUUGAAGCUGGGAUUUUUCUCUGUCAUGAAAUUUUGAGGUGGAGAAGUUGACAUUUUGCUUUAAAUUCAUCCUUACAUGAUAUGAAGAAUUUCUGACUUUUUGGGUGAAAGACUCAUGGUGAGCUGCAAUUAAAAUACUAAAAAUUAAGUAUGAUUCUUUUUUNUUUUUUUUUUUUUUUUUUUUUUUUUGUGCUACAUCCAUGGCACAGUCUGUUCCUGGGCCAGGGAUCGAACCUGAGCCACAGCAGUGACAACACAGCAUCCUUAACUGCUAGGUCCCCAGGGAACUCUUUAAGUAUGAUUCUUAGCUUUUUUUUUUUUUUUUAAAGCUUUUCUAUUUAAUGUCAUUUAUGUUGGUACACCAAACAAUUCUACCAAUAGUAAUAUUGAUUAGUUUUCCUUUUAUUAUCCUUUAAAAUAUAUUUUAUAAAUACUUGUUGGCACCAAAGGAUAUUAUAUUCUUUCCAAGAUCAUCUAGGCAAAACCAGAUGAUUAUGCUUCCUGUAUAUUUGUAUUGAUGAUUUAUUUAACUAUUUAAAAGUCCUUAAGUUAUUUUUAUACAUAAAAUAAGUGGAUUUUACAUUCAUUGUUAAUCCCUGCUGUGUCAGAGGUCCCCAAGUCCACCCUCAAGUCAAAGACUCAUUAGACUCAUAAAACUCAGAAAAGAGAUUGUCCUUAUGGUUUCAGUUUAUUAUAGCAAUGGUAUGCAGAUUAAAAUCAGGCAAGGAAAAAGGUACAAAGGGCAGAGUCCAGGAGAGACCAGGUAUGAGCUUCAAGCUGUCUUUGCCCAGUGGAGUUACACAGAUAAUCCGUCCUUUUCCACUGUGACAACAUGAAUGAACUACUGCCAAUGGGGGAAACUCACUUGAGCCUGGAUGUCCAGCAUUUUUAUUGGAGGUCAGUCAUGCAGGCAUGGAGCCCCUGUGUGUCUGACCUCAGCGACUUAGUCUCUAGCUUCUACAGAGGUCAAAUAGAUGAGGUAUGGCCCAGGGCCUCAAGCGAACAGAAACAGAUAUUCCCCAUAAAUCAGAUUGUUUAAACUAUUUGGCAUGGUCCAAGUUCCAGGCAAAGACAGUCUUAUCAGGCAGGCGGUACCAAAGGCCUAGAGGUUAUCAUCCAGAAGGCAGUCAAACCCUCUUUGGAAUGUGCAAGGUUGGAACACCCGAAGCCUGCAAAGCUACAUUUUCAUUGCGAAUUUGCAGAAUUGAUUCUGCUAACAGAACGCUUGUGUGAAAGUAGCAGUGCAUCUGAAUGACACAGCUUGUUUGUAUUGCUGAUCGUUUUAGGUUAUUAGCUAUGAAGGUACCUAUCGGAUAAUAGAAUCAUUGGUCAUGCGAAGGCUCAGUCAUGUCAGAAAUGGAGAGAGGUAUUUGGCUAAAGGCUGGGGCUGAUGUCAAAAUGGAAAAGCAGCUUCAAAGACCAAGGAGGAAUCCUUAGUUUUUAUAGAUUCCACAGCUUGCAUCUCCCUCCUGCUCCUCAUUCCUUGUGCCAGGCCCUCAGGAGUUAUUUGGCUAAGUCCCAAAGGCCUGUGUCAAAUAUUUAACAGACACAUAUACCCUUACUCAUCAACUAGACAGUUCUCUUCUGAGCACCUGUUAUAUACAUCAUGUACACACCUCUACUGGAGUAUUUAUUUAUUUAUUCAUUGCUUUCUCUGUUUUCUGAUCACUUUGAUUUUACAUUGCAGAUUUGGCACUGACCAUAUACUUCCUUCAACUGCAGCAUUUGUGACAAGUCUGAUCUUUGCCUCUGAAUUCUAUUUUUUUUUAAAAAUGAUUUUUAUUUUUUCCAUUGUAGUUGGUUUACAGAAUUCUGUCCAUUUCUACCAUACAGCAAAGUGACUCUCUUGGAAUAUUUAAAUUUCACUUCUCUGUCUCUUAGAUGUGCUAGCCUUCCUGGAAUAGUGAAAUAAUGAGGUAUUAAUUAUUAAGAUGCUAUUAGGCGAGGAGGACCAGAAAAACCAGAACCCUAUGUCAACCCUGUCACUUCUUCAGUCCUUAGAGAUCAUAGGGGCUAUAAAUACAUGAGAGGAAAAGCAAAAGCAAAAGCAGAGUCAACGCAAAAUCAGAACCAAAAUCAAAGCAGUUCCUUGUGAUUAACCAGGUUUUUGGUGGUCACCUCCAGUGUAGACCUCCAAGAAGUCAGGCAGGAUCACGUGGAAAACUCUCCCUCCAUAAUUCGUUCAUUCAACAAACUUUUACUGGCUGACUAUGUAUCAAAAGCUGUUCUAUAUGACGGAGGUACAGGACGUGUCAUAAACAACAGCCAGAUAAGUAAGGAGAUUGAUUCUGUUCAGGCUUUUGCAAAGAGCAUGUGCAGAUCUGCAAGUCAGACUGUCUCCGCAGGGGGGAUACGCCUGAGCUGUCACAGGGAAGGGAAGACAGUUCCAGACGGUGUGAUUUAUAGUUGAGGGAGCUGUCAAAGGCGGGGGGUCCAGCUGGCCAUCUGAACAUGGAAGGAGUUCCUCUAUGCUUAGAUAGUCUGGGGGGACACAUGGUUCUGAUCUCAUCUGACCAAUUAGGAGGCAGGAAUGAGAAGUCGGUUCUGAGUGUGGCUUUGUCAGUAGGUUCGUGCCCAAGAGGAAAGACCUGUUGUCUGGCCUCAUUAGAGUGAAAAAAGAAAGCUCCUGCCCUCACAGGGGUUACAGUCUAGCGGAGAAAGACAGACAAUCAAGCCAGUAAAUGUAUAAAUACAGGUCAGAUGGUUAGGGGCUCUGAAAAAGGCAGAAUCAGAAUGUGACUAUUCUUGUUAUGAUGGUGGCGUUCGGGAGGAAUCCUCUGGGGUGAUGCUCUGAAGGGAGUGGAGGAGGAGCCUCGGGGCUCUCUGGGAAGGAGAGGUCCAGUCCUUCGCAGAGCAUGCCUCUCCGUGAGUACCAGCAAGGAGGCCACCCUGGCAGGGAGAGGGGAGAAAGAGCCAGUGCCGGGGCUGGAGAUCAGAGCAGGGGCUGGAGGCCACGUUACGUGAGCCUUGUGAGAAAUGAGAAGCCAUUGCUUUUGAGGGCCAUGCUUGUAGCAUAUGUAAGUUCCCAGGCUAGGGGUAGAAUCAAGCUGUAGCUGAGACCUACACCACAGCCACAGCAACUCAGGAACCGAGCGGCAUCUGUGACCCUCACCACAGCUCAUGGCAACGCCGAUCCCCAACCCACUGAGCAAGGCCAGGGAUUGAACCCAUAUCCUCAUGGAUACUAGUCAUAUUUGUUUCCCCUGUGUGUGUGGCUUUACUACAGCUAAUGCGGUGGAAAAAUCAGUGAGCUAUCACACAUGUACCCACCCGAGACCAAAGCAAUCGACCAGAAAGCUUCUCUGAUGUUGCCAGAGAAGAGUAUGAAUUGUGUCAAGAUAUAACUUAAUUCAGUUAGCUCCAAUAAAAUGCAGUAAGAAUUUGCCUCUCCUUGUUCCCUUCUUUCUGUGUUUACCCUCGGAUGCCGAGCCUGGUCAUUGCACAAUUUUAAGAUGACCACCAGGUGGCAGUAUAACCCAAAUUUAUACCUUGCCAGUAAUUUUAAAACAUUCUCAGUAUUGCACAAUUUUGGUUUCCUUCUAUUUUCAUGCUUCCAUAAAAAAAUAAUGUCUCUAAAUUGAAUAUCCUGUCCUUUGAUUCCGCAGAGAAAUUGACUGUCAAGAAUAUUUCCUCCUCUUUUACUCAGUGACAGCCACAUGAAUAUUUUCUAGGGCCUGGGUGGAAGCUGGUAGCUUCCCCUGCAGCUGUUCAGGGCCUGGGCUUCUACUGGCUAUGUUUUCACUUACAGCAUCUGCAUCAAAAGCUUAUUGGGAGAAGAAACAGACAGCUAUUGGGAGAAGAAGAUGUUUCAUUUUUCAAGGAAUUUCAUCUGAGGCAUAUUGCUAUCUUGCACCCACAGGGAUUUUCUGAGGCCUCUUUCUUCCCCCUUAGGGUUGGUAGAUGAAACCUAAAUUCUAGCUUUUCUCCUUUGCCCGUGUUCCAGGGGUCCAGGUGUUAGGAUGUUGAGAUUAGUGUGGGUGCCACAUGGGCCCAUAUGCCUUCAGCCUGUCCUGCUUAUUCUAUUUCUCCAUUUCCUGAGGGACCUCAAGGACAUUGAAGCUUGUCCUGUCAACGUCAGCUGCCAAAGCCUCCCUUCAAGGAGAAAGUUUUUUCUUUUUCUUUUUUUUUUUAAAAUCAUUCCAGAGAAACUGAAGUAUAUUCUGUCUUGGUCAAGCCACCUUUCUUCUGAGCAAAAUUCCUUAGGGAGGGAAAUCUACAAUGGAAUCUAGAAAACUAAAAGCAACAAAAUUU
rnacentral:lncRNA from 1 species